AUAGAGCUCUGGGUCUUGGCCUUUAUAUAAGUAAAGAGGUCACUUGCAUGAGAAUGUAGGAAGCCCCAAGUUAUAACCAACACGGAAGCUGGAGGCAUUUCUACUAGGGAAUAGAGGGCAAUGCUGUAACUUCUCUGCGGGAAAAGAAUGUGGAAAUACAUCUGUCUGAACCAUGAUGCAGUGGUGUCAAGCUUCCCUUUCUGUAAAGCCUAGGGCUUUGAAGACUUUCCUUGUGUGCUUCCAGAGCAUGGCCUGCUUUCUUGUGACAAGAAGAAAAUUCUAUGGUGAGUUAUAAAGCCUACCAAGGCGUGCGCACGCACACACACACACACACACACACACACACACACACACAAAAUUCCUUUAUCUACCAUUGAUUUUUCUCGUUGUACACUUGAUAACUCACCAUUGAUUUUGGACACUUCCCAGUCACUUUGUAAGCUUUCUCUGCCAAGGGCAAACGUAAACUUGGGCCUCCGAACUGACUGCUGGUCAUCAUCAGUGGCUUCAAAGAUGAGGCUCCCAGGGGCACUUAGGGGAUGGCAGAAGAACAAGCCUGUGUAGUCCUUAGCUAGGCGAGGGGGGUUGUCAUUCACAUCCAUGAGGACCAGGUGGAAAUAUGCUGUAGAACUCAGAGAGGACCCACCUAAGAAAUUGAAGGGUUAGAAUAUAAUUCCAGGCAUCAUUGUCAUCCUUCAUAAGAAGUCAUUUUCUCUUUCCUUAAAAAUAAAAAUCAAUAUUUAAGUAGUUGGGUCUAUUAAAGUAGUAGAAAGAAGAUUUUAGAAUUACACACUUAAUUUUAGUAUUGCUUAAAAUGUUUAAAUGGAACCAACAAAAUGACUUGGUGGGUAAAAGACACUUGAUGCCAAACUUGGUGACAUGGGUUCCAUCCCUAGAAGCCACAUGGAGGAAGCAGAACUGAUUCCCAUAAAUUAUUCUUUGAUGGACACACACACACACACACACACACAUACACACAUACACACACAUACACACACAUAUACACACACAUACACACACAUACACACACAUACACACAUACAUACACACACACAUACACACACAUACACACACAUACACACACACAAACACACAUACACACACAUAUACACACACAUACACACACAUACACACACAUACACACACACAUACACACAUACACACACAUACACACAUACACACACAUACACACACACAAACACACAUACACACAUAUACACACACAUACACACACAUACACACACAUACACACACACAUACACACAUACACACACAUACACACAUACACACACAUACACACAUACACACACAUACACACACACAAAUAAAUGCAAUAAAAAUAUUUUAAAUGUUCAGCGAUAAUACUAAUCAAGUGGUGUGUGUGUGUGUGUGUGUGUGUGUGUGUGUGUGUGUGUGUUCAAAACAACUCUGAACUUUACAGAGAAGAGUGACGCUCAAAAGCUGUGUGACCUAGUUAUGUUCACACAUAGUGCACAGUGGAGUGGUCCCUACCAGCCACAUCCCUGAUCACUUCCCACUGCCUUUCGCAUGCUAACUCAGUGUUCUAAGCUUCAUUUCCUCAGCUGAGAAACACAUGGCUACGUGAAGAUCUUAGUGGAGAUCUCAUUCACACACGGAGAGAAAACAGCAAAUGGUGGCACUGAUGUCCUGCCCGCUGUAGUGAUGAAGACCAAGUCUGUCCUCCUCAUUGUGACCAAUGGUGGCUGUGUGCUCUUGGGCAAAUCAAUUUCUCAAUGCCUUGGUUUCUUUGUGCACAAAAUAUGGUCAAUAGCAGAACUACACAGGCAUCCAGUGUGGUACAAUCGACCCUGACUGUCCCCGCCUGACCUCACGAAGACGCUGCUUGUGUUCCUGUAAACUGUUUCAUGGUUCCUGCUUUGAUUCCAGGAAGCCUUGUUUUCUUGCUUUUCUUCACAGAAACUUCUAUGUCUCUGACUGUUCUUAAACCAAAGACAAGACCACUGAUGUCCUUGAAGUUGUUUGGUCUAUUAACAUUAUUAUUCUUUUGGUGCCAAAUGGAAUAGAUUUUGGCUCAUGGUCACAACCCAUGAGACUUCUAAAACAUGAAAAGCACUUAGAAACGUGUGCAAAGUGAAAUGUUAAUUGUUGUGCGAUCAAGGCGAAGGCACGGCAUCAAGGUUUAGACAGAGACCUCCCUCGGACUUCCUGGAAGCUUUUAAAUCACCAGUUAAACGUACAUCCUGAUGGCAGAAUGUGGCAAGUGGCAGAGACUGAGUUGUUUCAGCAAAGUCUUGUCUAUUCAUAGAUCCCAUCCAAUAAUGAAUAGUCUUGCUGUAGUUGAACGUAGCAAUAGUCAUUUGGGUUUUCUUUAAAUUUUUCCCCCAUACAUUUUUAUGAUUCCUUUCUCUGUUCCCCGUGUCUGCCUCUAAUUUGGGGCUUUGUAUUUUAAAAGUUUAUUAUUUUUUGGUCUAAAACUGUCUGAUAGUCAUUAGUUCUGCUCUCAUCUUUUUGUUAUAAACCAAGCAGAUACAUCACUAGCUAAUUAGAGUCCUUGAUCAGCUCAAGAUCCACAGAAUUCCUACUACAAGAUGGAAAAUUCCAUUUAAAGACACUCAACAUUUUAAUUAGCAACCUUAUCCCUGGAUACCAUACUCUUCCUGUGAGUUUAUUCUUUAUUUUAAUCUUAAAAUUUUCCUGGAACUCCAUGUUCAGAGCCAGUGGGCAACUUGUAUCACAACUGAAUUAAAUAGGUUGCAAGGCUUAUGCAAGGAUGGUCCCAACAUCUUGGCAUAUCUUUACAAUUGCCUUCCUUGCAAAGUUUAUCUUGCUUCAUCAAACCAGCAGAUACCCAGGUCCCCUGACACCUGCUGAAUCAGAAUCCCCAAGGAUGGCCUCCCAGGUGGACAGUCUUGCAUAAAAUGUUUUGUGUUCCAAAAAAUCAUGAGCGCCAAGAGGCUGUAAUUUAAGGCUCUGAGGGUCACUGGCUUCCAGUUUUGUAGAAGCCCUCAAUCCCCUUUGAGGAGGUAGUGAGGGAGGUUAGCUAGGGACUCUAUAAUGUUCCAAGAAGAGGCUCCAGUCCCCACAGAAAACCAGAGCAGACAGCAUCCUUGAUACCCUGCCAGUCUCAGGGAAACUGCCUAGAAGCACAGAUUGGCACAAGUGUUCUCUAACACAUCCACGAGGAAUUGAAAACACGCACUCACACAUUCACACACUCACACACUCACACACUCACACACUCACACACUCACACACUCACACACUCACAAACACACUCACACACAUACUCGUACACAUACACUCACACUCUCACACACAUUCACUCACACACACUCACACACACAUACUCACACUCACAUACACACUCACUCACACUCACACACUCAUGCACACUCACGAACACACUCACACACUCACAAACACACUCACACACAUACUAGUACACAUACACUCACACUCACACACACAUUCACUCACACAUUCACUUACACACUCACUCACACGCACAUACACACACUCACACACUCACACUCUCUCACCCACAAACAUUCACUCACACACUUACAUACUCAUACUCACAUACACACACAGUCACAUACAUACACUCUCACACACACAUUCUCAUACUCACUCACACAUACACAAACACUCCCUCUCUUCUUCCCUCCCCGUCCCUUUUGUACCUGUUUCACCAUGGCUUUACGGUCAUACUCAGCAACAAUUUUUAACCUUCUCUUGCUCUCCCACUCAUUUUUAUUGAUGCCACCCCAUCCCGAUGAUCUGUAAUCUGGUCGUGAUUUGUUUUGCUCACCUACUUCAGUGGCCACCACUUGUACUCGAUACACACUUUCUGUUUCCCUGUCCAGCGGAGCAGUGCUAAAUAUGUCGCCGGUGACGGAGUCGAUUUUAAGCCAACCUCUCUUAUUGUCUUUCAGUGAAUAACUUCAUGAGGGGGAGAGCAGAAGAAAACCUGUUACUUUGCAUGAAAAUGGAAGAUAGUCUGUGCUUCUAGACUCUGACAUAGCAUCAUCAUUUGGGUGAGCUACGGAGCAGAAUCACAGAGUCAACAUCCCAUUUACAUCUCUCUCUUUGGAAGAAGAGCUGUCCUCACAGCAGUGGUUCUCAAGCUGUGGGUUGCAACCCCUUUGAGGAUCAAACAAUCCUUUCACAGGGUCGCCUAAGACCAUCUAAAAACUCAUAUUUACAUUAUGAUUCAUAAAAGUAGCAAAAUUACAGUUGUGGGGUAGCAAUGAAAAUAAUUUUAUGGUUGAGGGUCACACAACAUGAGGAACUAAAUUGAAGGGUUGAAGCAUUAGGAGGGUUGAGAACCACUGCUUUACAGCAUGGUUCUGUGCUGGCUUUAUUAUUUAUGGCAGAGUGACCAGCUCCAGGAGAAAAGUUAUACUUCCCCGACAAUCAAGAUUCUAAACCGAAGUAUAUGUCUUCUGAAACCUUUCAGUACACCACCCUGCUAAGGAAAACUGAGCAGCUAAGGUUGGUGACAUGGGCAGCUGGUGGCCCGGAAAUCCUUUACUAAAGAAACAUCAACUUCAGCACAUAGGGCCAAGGCAAGAAUUGAAGAAUGAGGCCUUUAGAUACAUAGAUAAACCAUUCAAGUGUGGUAAGUAUAGUAUAUAUGCUUAGGAUCACAGAGAGAUUACUUGGACAUAGAAAAGUCUUUCUGAAAAUGCUGACACAGACAAGAAGGAUACCACAAAGAUACACAAGCCAGAUAGAGAAUCCAAGAGCAUCCUGGUGUGUGUACAGUGCAUAGAUAUUAACUGGCAGCAGUAAAUGAGCCUCCACUGAGCCUGGGAGAGCCAAAUCAUACAAGAGACAGCCAUUGAGCUGUGUUGAGUGGAAGGGUAACCUGGCUAAAACUGUGGCUUCAACAGAACUCAUUGGUGGAUGUUGAAAAGACUAAUCUGAAAGGAACAAGUGUUGUCUGAGGAAAGCCAGUGAGUCUAGCUUUUCUGUAAAGCCUCACAUAUGGCUGUGAAGAUGUCUAUAGCUGCAAGCCAUUCAGUCAGUCCUGGAAAUGUCACCUUGAUAACAGGUGACAUGGAUAGGAGUUAAGGAAUUGUGUAUGUGUGCGGGACUUCAAAACAUUGCCUAUAAGUUUUGAAAAUUCUGUUGGCCUAUGUGUCCAGGAAUAGGAAUGAUUAUAAUUAUAUAUAGUUAAAUUGGUUUUCCCAUUAUAUUUUAGCAUGCUGUAUAUGUCAAGCACUGUAUUCAUGUUUGUGUGUGAAUAAUCAACCAGAGCUCCUAGCUACUUGGGAUUCUACCCUGACAGAAGUGAGAAUCCCAAGGGCAGGCUUGGACAAGGAGUUGGACAGUUGGUUUACUUCAUUUUAAAGGCUCACAUUGCCUACAGUGCACGGUCGACUCAGAUGGGAUAUGGAAUGAUAGGAAAGGAGGGUUUCACAACAGAGGUGGCAAUGCCUUGGACCCCAUUGGGAAUAGUCAGAAAUGCCUGGCUUCUGGAUCUGUGGUCAUCCAUGGGCUCUGUAAUAUUUGAAGCUGGGUUGGAUUUGAAUCUACUGAAUAUUGAUGGGCUCUCCAAGUUUACCCAGCUGGAGAGUUAAAUUUCUCUGUCCACAAUGUCGGAGUCAGUAAAGUUAGCUCUUACCACGUCAUGCACCUCAGGGCUGCCUUGAUUACUCCUCAUUCAUUUGCCUUCUGCAAACACACUUUACAGGAUGUCGAUUCUCAGUCUCCCUUGACCACCUCAUCUCCUGAUGGUAACUAUGGUUCUAUACCAGCUUUUGAGCCACCAGAGGAAUUUCCUUAAAUCCUUUUGUUUUCUCUAUACUAACAUGCACAUACCUCCGGCUGGUAAUUUUAUUGAUUUAUUUUAUCUUUUAAUUACAACCAGCAAUUUUUAGAGCAUUCCCCUGGGAAAAUACAGAGGUAUCUGUUAGAUAAUAAUGGGCUGUGGGAUUUGGAUAAUCUGAAUUCCAUCAUGACUUGUGACCUGGGUGUAUAUCGUUGUUUCUACACUGAAUAAUGUAAGAUAAUCCUCACCACUGUUACACCUCAGUACGAUAUGGACAUGAUUUGAGCCUUCUCUCUCCCCCACAAAAAAUGUUCUAUGUUAGAAGCCUCCUUCUCAGAUGGUAAAUUUGCUGGGUACAAGACUGUUGAGAGGUAGGGUCAAGUGGGCUGUCUUUGUAACUUAGGGAAACUCCCUUGCAGGAGUUGUAUGAAUGCAGUGGCUACAGCUUCCUGUCUGCAAUGUGAUCUUUUCCCUGUGCUUGUGUUGCUGUUGUGUUAAUAGUCAUACAAGGCCUUCAAAAGACCCAGGCUGUACUGGUGCUAAGCCGGUAGGUAGAUGUCCAGAGCUAUGAGCUGAAUAAAUUGCUUUUCUUUGUAAAGUUACCCAGCUCCCCACUUUUUGUUAUAGUAAGAGAACUAGUAAUAUACGUUAUGCAAGAAAAUCAGUAAAGCCCAUAUGACCCUAGGUGUCUGCAGGACAGCUCGGUAGGAGGCAAAAGUUCACUCAAAUAUACAGAGAAACUUAAAGACUUGGAAGUACAUGUAUCAGCUACAUCAUGUAGAAGUAUUUGUUUAUGUCCGGGACAAUAUUGUGUAAGACAAGCAAAAAUGCUCUGAGUUCAAGUCCUAUCUAUACUGAUGUACCAUGUGAUCUUUAAAACCAUAUAGGUAGUAUACAAAUGUGUACAUGUGUAUUCAGUGAAUGAAUUAAUCAUGACUGAAGCAAAUAUGCGUGGGGGCAUUUGCACCAAAAAGAAAGUAUUGAGAACGACUAAGACAGAAACAUUAGCAACUCGCCUUGAGCGCUAACACCCUCAGAAUGAGGGGGAAGAAUCUUGCUCUCCAGGGAGAGGAAGAGCCCAGACUCUCUACAUCUAAGACAUUCCCUUUACCUCUAAGGUGGCUUUCUCUACUUCUGGGUUUUUAUCGCUCUACGACUCUAGUCUAUUUUUCCCAAGAAGCUUCUCUAGAGCCCCAACAGUUCAGAACUAGGGCCUGGCCAUGGGUUACCCAAUCUCAGGGAGUGGCGCUCCCACCUUCUACCUCUGCCAGAUCUUAACUGAGGCCUCCAGCAAGAAGACAGAAUGGCCCCUGAAGCCAUAUGUCUGACCCACUGAACCAAGGCCAGAGUCCCUGCUUCUGAUGUCUGUUCCAUUGUCCCAGUCCUGAAGCCAGUGCAUGCUGCUUCUCUGCCUCGCCAGCCCUCCUGCUGGCAAGCAUGCCAAUAGGUCUUCCCAGCCCUGCUGCCUUGUACCUCACAGUCAGGCCUUCCGGAUCCCUGGCAGUCACAGUGCCCACUUUAGUGCCUAUAGCAGUAUCCUCGCUAACGUUGGCUUGGAAUAUUUGCUGGGGAAAUACAGGCACUUCAUUCACAUCCGUCACGGUCAGCUCGAAGGAGGCAAAAGAACUAGCAUUGUACUCUAUGCCAUUCACCAGCGGCUCAGGGUUUUCUGCUUUGAACACAAUGCUAGUAACUGGUUCGGUUUCAAAAUCAAGAGGCUGUGGAGGGAGAGAAAACAAGGGGAAAUUAAUCUUGGAGUGAAUAGCUCCCUUAAAGGAUUUAUUUCUUUUAAAAGUCAUACAAUCUUAACUGAAAUCAUCUUCUCAAGGAAACCAGAACACAACUCUACUUCGUGUGCAUUGGCUUGUCCAGAAAGAGACUCUAACACGGGCCUCCCCAGAUUUAACCAUGGAGCACCCUACAUAUCUUCUCUGCAAAGUCUUGAUUGUCCUCAGACAAAGACACCUAAGAAAAUAUUUCUACUACAGAGAUGUUCACAGGGUAUGGAACAGUGAUUUCAGAACCAAAGACCCAAAAUGCAAGACCCUGGGAGAGGUGAACAGAGGCCAUGCCGGCAGGAGGAUGUUUCUGUUCCACCUGGAUAGAUAGGACCAGGAGUAAGAACAGGACAUUGUUUCUGGCUCUGUGUGAGGGAGACUUUAACAACCAGGCUCCCUAAAAUGGAAAGGAUGGAUUCAGAAAACGGUCCAUUCCGAAUUCUGUAAGUUUUCAAGCAUACACUUAACUACAUGCCCUAGCACUGAAAGAUUUAGCUAUCCUAUGAGCAACUGGCCCUAUGGGACCUCAUAUCUCCCUCUAAGCAGGAGUCCACUGUUCUAUAAGAAAAGAGAGGCCAAGAAGUGAUGGCUCCUGCAGUGUAGGCCACCAUCUCAAGACUCAAGGAUCCCAUAGGACUCUGAACUCCUAUAAACUAAAAUCUAAACAGUGUGUGUGUGUGUGUGUGUGUGUGUGUGUGUGUGUGAAGAUGGGGGCACAUGGACCUUUAAAUUUCCAUUAUUUAUUUGUACGCAUAUGCAUGUUGGUACAUGCAUCCCAUAGUACGUGUACCAAGAUGAGAAGGGUAAGCUGUGGGGUUAGCUCUCUCCUUUCACCAUGUAGGUAAAACUCAGGUGGUCAGGCUUAUGGAGUAUGUGUCUUCGUCCACUGAGCCACCUUGCCAGCCCCAGUCAAGUAGUCAGGUAGUUUUUUAUUGCUCUCAUUUUGUUUUGUUUCGUCAUCAGCUUCUCAAAAGGACCUAAAACACCAAAAACUAGAAAGAACCAAUGCAAAGCCCAAAAGGAUGUUGUGGAGGUUUGAAUAGGCGUGGCCUCCGUAGACUCAUCUGUUUGAAUGCUUGGCCCAUAGGGAGUGGCACUAUUGGAGAUGUGACCUUGUUGGAGCAGGUGUUGCCUUGCUGAAGGCCAUGUGUCACUGUGUGCAAGCUUUGAGGUCUUCUAUAUGUUCAAGCUGUGUCCAGUGUAGCACCCAAUCUCCUCUGUUGCUUUGAAUCAAGAUGUAGAACUCUCAGUUCCAUCCAGCACCAUGUCUGCCUGGACACUGGAAGGCUUCCUACCAUGACAAUUAUGAACUAAAGCCCUGAAAAUGUAAGCCAGAUCCAAUUAAACAUUUUCCUUCAUAAGAGUUUCCUGGGUCAUGUUGUCUCUUCACAGCAAUAAAACCCUAACUAAGACAGAUACUAUGUGUUGAGGAAGCAGCCCUCAUGACUUUAUGUAGGUGUAUUGUUCUCAAAGACUCAAGACCUCUGGGCCUUCUCUUGUAUCAUUCUCUCAUCAGUACGCUGUAAUGGUGACAUCCAUUCAUGAAGUAUAAGACAGACGUAGGUGGCAUUGACUCAGCCUGCCCUACUUACAUCUGAAUAUUCAUUUCCCCCAGGAGCUGAGCAAUACUGGUCUCCUCAUCCCACCACAUAGCAUAGAUAGAUGGGCUAACCUCCUCUGCAACUACAUGAAACUCCAGCCAGGGCUUUGGCUGUGUUGUUCUUAUUCUGUCCAAUUGCUGGCCAUCAGCUCUGUGAGAGGAAGGACUGUGGCCUAGUCACCUCACUUCUCAUUCCUACCUGACACACAGUACCCAUAGUUUAUCAGUUAGGGGGUACAGAGAUGAAGACUUGAUCCUUGAGAGUUUAGAUAGAAGGAAAAUUGUAAUACAAUUGUAUGUAUGUAUGUAUGACUAUAUAUAGUCGUAAUUUGUGAUACAUAUAUAUCACAUCUUUUUCUACAUCCAAUGGGCUAAAAUCCAUCCCUGAGGAAUGGUUGUUGCACUUCAAAGAGCCUAAUCUGAGGUCCAAGCUCCAGAGGAAGUCUCCAGCUACCCCAUCCCUUAGCACUGUGUUAUGUCCAUUACCAAAAUGCUCUUGCUGAGAUAUGCUUGGUUGGCGCUAUGGGAGGAGAGACUGUUAGGCACUUAGUUUGACGUAAAAUACAGAAUCUCUCUUGAUCAUUGUCAAUAGGAGGAUAAGCCUCUGGUACAGCUGUGACCUUCAGGGUUCCAGGAUGCCAGCUGUGUUCUGAGAUUACCUUCCAGUGGUCAGCCUGCCAAAUUGCGACACUCAAGUUCUAUUGUUACAAUGCCUGAGGAACAGAGAGCUGAGACUUCAGGUCCCUAACUUCAGGUUCUACAAUUGCUUGUGUGAUUAUUAGUAACUGGACAUGAAACGAAUUUCAAUUAAUCAUUCAGUCAAGCAAUACUCAGUAUCCUCAUCUGCCAUGUGUCGAGCAAAAUUCUAGACACAGUAAAUACAGCAACACACAAAACAAGGAUCGAGAGCAUUUGGCGAGUGGCCUGGCUCCACUUUAAUGGUACCUAAUGUAUGGCUUAUGUGGAAGGAGAGCUGUGGCUCUCCGCUGCCAUCAUCUCCCUAAAGGACACAAUCACUGCACAUGGUCAGGUUAGCUGUCGAUGCUACAUGAGAAGAUACCACAAAGAAAGGAGUGACAUGCAGUUGUUUACUGGGACAGACAUCCCCUAUCUUCUCUGAAUCCCCAGUGUGGAGGGAGGAGAGAUGGCCUGGUCCUGCAGCAAAGACUCACACCACCAUGCUUGGCAGACUAUCCAUCCCAAUUCUGAAAACACCCCUUCCUCCACCCUUUCCUUCUUCUCUCUCCAUGUGGAGAGCCAGGAGUAGGAGGAGCACAGGAGAAGCUGUGAUCAUAUGCUCUCCAAAUGUCAGACUUCCACAGACGGCUAUGGGUAUUAUACCCUGAACUCUGCCGAACCCAGUAGGCACCCUUGCCAGAUGGGGUACAAAUGGCAAUGCACACUCUUUUCUUGUUGUGACCAAAUACCUGACAAGAGGCAGCUUAAGAGUUACUUUUGCUUACAACUUAUGAAGAGACUCAACCCAUCUCAGCAAGGAAGGCCUGGCUGGUCACGUGUCUGCUGUCAGAAAGCAAAUAAAUGCGUAGGAAGUAAGGCUGGCCCAUAAAACUUCUAAACUCUCGCCAUAGUUUCUUAGACAAAGCUUCACCUCCCAGAGGAUCCAAAACCUUACAAAAUAGCACCACCAGCUUGAGGCCAACUGUCCAAACAGGAGACUAAGGGCAACAUAUCAUUCAAAUAGUCAAUUUGAUCCUGUCUGUGGCUGGUUCCAGACGAGCGUUAUUUUUCUCUCCUUCACUUGUUUUCAUUUUCUGUGCAACUAUUCUGCUUGGCCUUCACUUUUAGCCUUUACUCUCAUCUUUCCAUUACUCUAGUUCAAAACAUUUCUAAAGCCUUUUUUUUUUAAAAUCCCAACCAACAAGCAACAUCCCAACAGAUUCUCUGUUGCACCUCUCCUUGUUUACCUGGAAAGCUUUGAGCUCUCCCCAUGGAAAGUGCUUUAACUCAAUACCUAUUGCAUGGUGUUGGUUCCAAAUGAGUCAUCUGGUAAACCCAUGAUGAGCUCUAACACAAAUUAUGCAGUUACAAAAGAGAAAAAUUGAAACUCGGGUACAGGAUGAGAAACAGGAAUAGGCUGAGGGAAAGUUGGAGAGACCCUGGAGAAAGACAUGGGGACUGUGAGUUAAUACUUUAUCUCCAAAACACUCUAGUCUUUAUAAGAAGCAGAGAAAAGCCAACUGGACUUAGCAACAUGGUAAAGGACGGGGUUGCAGUUCUUAAAAUUUCUUUGUGGUGAAAAGCACUGGCCCCUCACUCAGACUCAUAAGUUAACUAAAAUCAGGACAAAAGUCUGUCACCUUCCUUCAUUUCACAUCUUUCUCCUGUCUUAAAAUUUCCUGAUCACCUUCCUAAUUAGCUCUGUUCAUGGACAUGUUAAUUACAUAAGGAACAUCUGUCUACAGUCUCAUCUCUGGAGACAGAGAGGAGGCUUAGCAGAUAAAUAUUUGAGGAGAUCUUAGUUUGGUUCCUAGAAUCCACAUCAGAUGACUUCUGUGUUCAUGUGCAAGUGUCACCUCUGCCUAUUGGUCAUGACAUAAUCAUGGGUAGAAUAAUCUGCUUUAUUUAUUUAUUAAUAAUCAUUAAGUGGGCUACCUACCUUUCUGAUCUUGACGUAUCCUGUAUUGGUCAUGGGAUCUGUGACAACUUCCAGUCUUCCCUCAGUGUCUCCCUGUACAAUCUUGUACAGAAUUUUAGAGCUCCCGGUAAAGGGCUCAUCAUCAUCAGUAGCUUGGAUGAUUAAGAUGGUGGAUCCGAUGGCUGUGUCUUCAGAAAGAGUCUUGCUUCCAUACUGAGGAAGAAACAAGAAAGGUAACCGAAGGUCCAUGUCAUUGAGUUUACUGGCCAAAGGGCAAACAACUCAGAGAUCUCAGAAAUCACAGAUGGCUUUAAUACCCAGCAUGGUUUUCCUCUGGAUGAACACACUACAGUUGACUUUAACAUUAUUUGUUCUUAUGAACUGAAAUCCACACCAAGGAACAUAACAACUUAGACAUCCUAGAAGGAUUCUAAAAUAGACUUCCCCUCCAACAUCCACAGGCUUAAUAACUAUGACUAUUUGAAUAAUAACGAUAUCAAUAGCUGUAAUAUGUAAGUGCCUAUGGUGUGACAGAUACUUCUAAUUCCUGAAUCAAUCAAGGGAUAGACAUUAGGAGCCCAAAAUAUUGAAGUCAGAGUUGGCUACCGAUCCUAAACUUGCCGUUUGUUAGUUGAAUAGUGCAGUUAUCUCAUUUCUUUAAACGUGGGCUCACUCAUCUAAUAGGAGAAUGCAACCUGUGGUCACUAGGGGACAAUGUGUGUAGAGUCUCUAAAUGGCUGCUAUACAGUGCUUAUGAAAGAUGAGUGGCAAAAUACACUAUAGGGCCACAAACUUACCAGUGACACUUGACAGAGGAGCCAACAUAGUCAACCCGACCCAGGCUAACACAGCUAGUAUGAUCAAAACCAAACCCCCAAAGCCUGUGUUCCUCACAUUCCCAUAAAGUAUUCUGACUCCCCUGAAGCCCCAAGAUCCACUCUUUCCCACAUCAUGAUCUUAAAAAUGGUAACAGCCAGGGUCCAAGAGAAGAUGCUGGCCACAGAAUAAGCUAGCCUAGCCAGGUUUGCAUCUCCAAGCUUUUACUCCCCACUGAGAAUUCUUCUGCUCAGUCUACUUGACCACUGCCUGCUGAAAGGCAGGGAACACACAACACUAGGGAGUGAAAAAUACCCCAGAGGAUAGAAGCUGGGAAUAAAAUGAAUUCUUUAUUUCAUGCUCGCUUCACCUCAGUGGCUGUUAGACAAGAUACGUUCCAUCACACUUGUUAGGGUUCUGAGCUCUACUGUAAAUUAAUUCCUUCUUUGUUAUAGCCUUGUCUCUGUUUUGAUUUAUGGACAUCAUCAGGAGGCUCUGGGCUUCCUCAAAACUGACUUCUAACAUAACAAUCUAGUCAAGUUGGCUUCUCUCUCUCCCCAGAGCUAAAUAAAUUGAGACAUUCCUUUCAGGGGUACAAUGAUCACACCCCAUUGUGACCACAACCAUUUGCCCUGAUGUCCUUCCUGCCCUGACGUGUGUUACUCUACAUUCAAUGCUAAUUCUUGUGGAUAUAGGGAGCACAUUUCUCUUAGGCUUAAGCCAGAGAUAUUUUUCCUCUUUCCUUUCCUCUUACCUGGUUAAACACAAAAUGAGUUGAAGUCGCCAAUAUGUCUAAUCCCAAACACUUGGCAUAGAUCUAGUAGCUCUAUCUAUUGUUCAUUGUAUGCAAAAUCUACAACAAGCCACAAGCAGCCAUUUAAUUUUCCAUCAGAAAAAGAUUGUGGUUGUAGCUUUUAAGGAGCAUUUAGAAUAAAUGAGCUGCUGACAAGAGUUUAUAAAUAGACACCCCCCAAAUACUCUCUGUAGACCUUAGUGCCCCUAAGGACGUAUGUGAAGAUGGCAGCUGGUUUUUAUUGAUGCAUCAACCAGGCUACCUGGCACAUUGUCUGCAUUUUUAUUUAAAUGAAAGGCUCAUUAAUAUGAUCCAAACCAAAAUAAAACAAAUAGUGACAUCUACUCACGUCUGAUCUUUCAAAGAUGGGAAUCUGAUCGUUGAUAUCAAUAACGUUGACUUGAAGAGAACAGAGAGUCUUGAAAUCUGGAAACCAAAGUCAUGUCACAGAAUUCUCAUUGGAAAUCAUGCACUGGCAGCAGGACUUGGUAAGGAAAGUAUUGGUGAGAGACAUGCAUGACAACUGCUGCCACAAUUCCACAGUUCAUGUGAAUGGAGGCUGCUCUGCCCCCCACCUCACCCACAAGCAGGUCAACGAGAAGAGAUGGGAGCCAGACUAGCCCUAGAGAUGCUCUCCUGAGCACCACACUGCCCUAUCCUUGGGAAAGCUUUUCAACAACCAGGAUGGUUGCUUUUCUCUGAAGUAGCUCCCUUACCUGAGAGGUGAAUAUUAUAUAAUCUCUGAUACCCAAAGCAAAACUGUCACUGUGUACAAUUCUGCUGAGCAUCCUACAGACUGCCUUCCCCUCUCUGAGUGCAUCUGUCCAGCAUCAAUUCCAGCCAGUAUGGUGAGGAGGUUCAAGGUCACCUGCUUUCUCUCGGGAUAAACUGGCAUGAUUCACCUCCAAGCGAGGCUAAGAGGUAGCUCACAGAAAUGGCCCAGGCUUUGAGGGUGGUUUGACAAUUUGAGGACUAAUUGGAACCAGUCGGUGGAUCCUAGAUGCAAGGUGAGCUUGGCCUGCAAGUCUACUAUGGGACAGUAUCUAGGAAGACCAUCACAAUGACAGUAGACAGUACAUCCCUUUGGAUUGUUAACUUGUGUAUCCAUCUUUCUUGACAAAUAGGGUACUCCCUUAAGGACAGACACUUGGUCGGUUUAUCUGUAUGUCCCUAAUGCUUCAUCUGGUACCUUCGCAAGGCAAGUGAUUAGAUACUGAAGGCACGGGUGAGAGUCAGUGUGAGAGUCUGCCACCUCUCCAUGGACAGCGUGAUAUAAAUUUAUCUCAUUGAACCUCUUAACAUAGUGAUAAACAGCAUCAGACCUUCAUUGUGUGUCAAUUCACUAGCUACCUGACUGACAGGCAGUUUGUACUGGAACCUGCUUAACUCACUCUCCCAGCAUCCAAGGGAAAGGGAAAAACGUAAGAAAUACAUAUGAACCACUGGUCCUUUCCUUUCCACACCUAUGUAAACUGUGUUCCUCAGAAAACAAUUACAGAAUUAUUUCAUGAGCCAGUUACCUCCUAGGACUCUGAGUACCCCAGAGAUAACAGUACAUUUGUCUGUGGAUGUGGAGAUGCGUUUGAGAAUGGGAAGUUCCCGGGAGCUUCUUAAAGAUUCCUCUGCUUCAGGGAGAGGAGAGGUUAAACAGGACCCACUCUGACAGUAUACAGGGAUUAAGGGAAAAGGUCUCCUGUUGUUGUCUAGCGGGCAAUUUGAGGCUGGCCAGAAUUGGCAGAACUCUCUCUCCAAAGACACAUUUCUCUACUUCUUUCAGACACAGAUCAUUUUCAGCCUGGAAGUAAGGAUAAGGCUAGAAUUUUUCCUGUCCUGUAAUUACAGUAGUCGUGAGACUGUGCCUGGUGACUGUAACAGUUGAACUGAUGGUGUCUGCACUGUUAGGCUGUGACCAACACUACGCUUGUGCCUCAUCUUCCAUUGGCUGCCACCAGACAAUUACUGAGCAAGUAGUGAAGCAAAGACAGGCCUAUCCCCAGAGACAAUGCCCUGCAGAAUUCCAGACAGCCAUUCGGAACUCUUCUUAGAGUGCUUAGUAGUCUAGAACAUUGUUAUCAAAACUCCUUCCAUCACAAUCAAGCCACUAUUGCCAUCUGGGGAUGCCCUAGAUUUCAAAGUUUCCUUUCUAUUUUUCUUAAAGGCAUUCCCUUUAAGAUGGUCACUGAAUCCCUCUUGAUACCUAGUUCCCAUAGGACCAAAGACAAUACAAUGUCUCCUGAUCUGAACCUCUAGCUCUUGAGAAAAUCUGGAACUUCCUCACAUUCGCAAAGAUAGCAUAGAAUGCUUCUGGCAUGAGAAGAGCCUCAUGAAUCCUAAGUAGGAGGAAAACAGGUCUUCUCCAGCUCCAUUACUGCUGGAAGGUGAGGCAGGAGAACUGCCACAGGCCUCCAGUGUCACCAGGAUGGAUCUAAGACGAGGGCAAUAUUUUCUUCAAUGCUACCAGCAGGCUCUGAGGCUUGACUCCAAGACCACCCAGCAAGCAACCAGCCAUGCCAUUACCCACACCCAUGGAAACGUCCUUAGCCCACAGACCUCACAGGCAAGGCUACAUUGUACAUAUAGCUGUAUAGCUAGCACGCUGCAGAGAGGGAGAGUCAAUUCCAGGGUUCAAAGUUGCAUCCUUGUAUCGGGGCAACAAAUCUCCUUCCCUCCCAUUAACAUGACUAUUGGGGCUAUAAAGAUUUCAAAAUGAAUGUGUACAAGGUGAGUCACCAAACCACACCGUCAGAGCUGAGAAGGACGGCAUGGUGGAAGUGGCAAAAGGACAGUUUUCAUCUACAGAAAGGAAGGCAAGGGACCUCAGGCAAGAAGAAAACGAGGCCACCACCAGUAAAGUGCCACAGCCAACGGUUCAUUCUCUCUGAUCUCGAUGCUGCUUCCUAACUCAUACUCAUGCAAUCACCUCCUAUCUCUGUGUAGGUGCUGAGAAAAACCUGUUAAGGUGGCCUCAUUCAUUAUGGAGGGUGGGUCCAUACAGGCGUUGGACAUUUGAAAUACAUACAACUAAUGACUCUUACGUAGUCAGAGCGUAGGCUGUGCUCCGUAAUUUAAAAGCUCCUCUAUGUCGAAUGCUAGGAUUGGACCCAUUCCACAGGACAGAAAACUGAGGUUUAAAGCUUAAAGCUACUCAGUCCAUUUCCUAUCAUGGGCAAGUGGUAGCCACAAACUAGAACCUGGCUCUGACAUUACUGUCCUUCUAUAAUAAUGUAGGUAGGAAAGACAGGAGAGCAAUGGUCUUCACUCAGUCCCAGGCUGAACGCAGUCUCCUCUUUAACCUUGAAGGAGGCUCUGGAAAGCUUGGUUCAGUUCUAUAAUAUGGAAGGUGGGGGGAUAAAAAUAUAUUAUAUAAUGUGUUAAUAUAUAUGUGUGUGUAUAAUGUAUAUUAAUAAAAAACAUUAAAAUUUUUAAACUGUAUAGGAGGAUUUUGAGGACUUAAAAUUUGGUGUGUUGUUUUUGGGUACAAGAAAAAAAGGAAGCAAGAUUUUUAGGUGCAACAAUCUACAAACUUCCUUUUGUGGAAAAGAGCAAAAAGACACCCGAGAUCUUGGCUCAUAAGACAGUGAAACUUUGGACAUCCUUCUGCACCACAAGAACCAUAAACGAUGGCUCAGGAAGAGAGUGUGGAACUGAAGAGUAAGAUUACCAUGAGCGGGUGACCCGAGAUCAUUAUGUAAAGCCAAGGACAGCAUGCUCGGUUGACAAAUGCUACACGUUUUCUUUUAUAUGCUGAACCUAGCCUCACAAUUCAAUGUGUGUGUGUGUGUGUGUGUGUGUGUGUGUGUGUGUGUGUGUGUGUGUGUGUGUGUGUGUGUGCUUCUAUAUUUGUGUCUACAAGUCAGGAAAUUGGAAAGACAAUUAUGAGGGGGAAGGAAGAGAUCUUGAGGGACGUGGGCGAUAGAGCAAAGUAAAACACAGAAUGGGAAAGCAGAGAAGGAAACCCACAGGGAGGGGAAGGAAACCGGCCGGAGCUAACCUUACAUGUUAAUCACUUUGAGAUUAAAACCAAUUAUGCAGCUAGGUAAUCUAGAGCUGGUUCAGGGUGUACACGAGGAGGUGGCUGGUUGCACACAACAUCACAUCCUUUGACCUUAGGGGCUUGAACAGCAUAGAUCUGGUAAGUGUAGAAGUCCCUAGACACUGCAGUGCUUGGGCUUAACCACCGUUUUAACAUGAGCCAAAUCUGCACAAUCAUUUAUCAACCUACAGUUUCUUAUUCCAAAGAAAAGAACAGCACUGAGCCAUUGGUGGUCCCACUCCCCAAAUUUCUCAGUAUCCAGGUUCUUCACCCGCUCUGACAACUCUCUUAGGUUUGCUUAUCUGCCACUCCCUCCCCACACCCUGGCCACUGUACCCUUUGCCCAGAUCACUGGAUCUGUGUCCUGUGCUAGCUGCUCUCCCCACCUGCCAGGGGCCCAGGCACAGACAAUGGACAGCAGGUAUUUGCCUAACAAAUACCUCCUUGAGAGCUCAUCUCUCACAACUGUUCCUGCUUCUCUCUCGCCCCUCAGCAGGGUCCUACUCACCCCUUUACUUACGGACUUCUAUGUGCACCAGACAGGAUGCUAGGAACUCAGUUCCCACACAAGAAGCACAGCUAGACCCUGUUCCUACUUCCUGCAGGAAGUCUUCCUUGAUUUCCAGACAGGGGCCUUUUCCUUUUGCAUUUCCAAUUUUUAUUAUUUAUCUUUUAUUUGUUCAUCCUUUAUUUAUAUUAUUUACUUAUCCUUUAUUUAUCAGUGCUACUGACUCCCCUAAAAAAUAGAGGUCUUGUUACUUUUUAACCUCCCAGAGCGUUCCAUACCAUAACUUGCUUACAUUAAGACCUCAACAGAUGUUUGUUAAAUUCUACAGUAUCCAUCAUUGAAUAAAUAUCAGAAUAAAUAUUCUCAUAAAA